AAAGAGACUGAAGGGCUAUUGGGAAGUGAGCCUUCGACAGCAGACUGGCAAGAAGCUGUCCAGAGUGGGAGAACCAGGAGAUGUCGGUGUCAGAAGGGAUAUAACAGCACUCCCUUGGAAGGCUGAGGCUGCAACUUUCAAAAAAGCUGCUAGAAUCAAAGGAAUGAACAACAAAGAGAUCAAAUAUUGGAUUUUUCAAGGCCCCUUUUUGGAAGUACACGUCCGGAGACUGACAUCCCCGGUUGGAGACCACAAAUAGGGACUGUUUUGAUCCAUCACCCAAUUAGGAUGAGACUUGUAUCCAUCUCUGGAUUGAUAGAACAGUAACAUCAUUAACAUGAGAUCGAGAUGAAUACAAGGAAUGAGCAAAAUGGAUUGAAUUCUAAAUAGAUUCGUAGGGAAACUGACUAGUCUUGAGUAAAUGAUCUUUGUUUGAGGGCACAGGGACAGAAUCUACCCCCAAACAAUCAGCACGUGGAUGCAGGACAAUGAUGCAGCCACUGCUGCAACCUCUAGACCACAACACAGGACUUGUGGCCCCUAGGAUUUGCAUAACUGCAGAUCAAGGAUCGACCGCGUUUGCUACUUCACCGCUCCCUUGGCCCCCUUCUGCCAUCAUUCUCACCCCAAGCUAGCAUGGAGCCCAGCUGUGCAGUGCACUGGAGGUGUGAAUUCCCAUGUGUUCUAGUUUUGCAGCUGAUAGCUUCUGCACAGCAGAACUGCUUUGAUUCAACUACACUGACGUCCUUCCAUGAUAUUUCUGCACGAGUCAGUUUGUGUAUAGUCAAAACCCAGUCACCCCGUGAAUAAUCAAAGUAGGAUGCCUCUCAAAGCAUGGGGCUCAUUGAUGUAUUGAAUAUUCAUAGGAAACACUGAAAAAAAGCUUCUUUCCUGCUUUCAAGAGUCUUAUUACUGGAGUUUGAAUUGCACAUGUGCAUGACACAAAGGUAUUCAAAGUAUAGACAGGACAAGAAUCACAGGGCAUAUAGCUCCUCUAAUGUCAUUGCAAGCAUUUCUAACAUUAUAUCUGUUAGAGAAAUCUCUCCCACAAGUGGAGAUAAUCUUUUAUUGCAAAGAUACUAAAUCUUCUUACAGCUAUGAACUGGAUUUUAGAAGGGCUGAAAAUUCCAUUUAUCACAAUCCUAGUUCACUGGAGCCUUCUCCUUAUAUUAAAGGUGAAAGCUGAGGUAGUCAAUCAGGCAUUAAAGAAGAACAUUUUGAAGGCCUUGUCAAUAAGUAUUCUGGAAAUGAUCUUGCAUUUAGAUUAUUCAACAGGUUGGUUAAACUCAUUAUUUGCUGCCCAGAAAUCUUCAGGUGAUUAUUGACCUGUGCUUAAAGUUAAAACCUUAAGUACAUUUGCAAAAACAAUCUUUCAGGGUGGACAGCUUAAAUGAUUUAAAGGUUAGCGUGUUUCAAGGGGACUUUUUAGCAAAGAUGGAUCUUUUAAAUACCAUGUUGCAAAUUUUCAAUGCAUUUAAACUGCAGCUUUUCAGGAGUAGCUUCUAAAACUGACAUUACCCCAAUGUAUGUCACUUGAGGCUGAUGUCUGCAGCAAUAGUGACGCAUGUAGAUUGCAUAUAUCUCCUUUCUUCCUCUCCAUCCCAAUUUCUUUCCUUCUUUCCUUUUCUUUUCUUUUUCUUUUCUUUUCUUUUCUUUUAAAAAAGUUGGCCAGAGUGGGAAUUCUCUCUCACCAUAAUUCUUUGUCAGUCUUGUUUCAAUUUUUCACACAUGUAUUAGUGACUUCUCAGCUGGACUGAAAGCACUUGUUAUGAAGAUAUUCAACCAUUCUCAUUAGCAAAUUCUCAAUGACAUGAGCAUACCCUUUACAAAAUUUACAUACAUAGUGGACUUUUUCUCAUGAAAUUCUAGAGGCGCUUUCUUCUCCCACAAGUAAACACGUGUCUUAAUCACUUCUUUUGUUUCUCUUGAGUUGAUCAGAUGAGGGAAUAUAAUCAGGUGUUUGAAACUACAGCCUUAGUUAAAACCAAACAUAAAGGUAUGGGAUAUAGACAUCAUCCUAGAUUAGCUUUCAAAAACUGACAACUAGACAGGCUAGAUUAGCUGUGCUCAUCUCUGCAUGGCAGCUUAGGUUGCCAGGGAGUCAGACCUCAUGCCAAGAAGGAUUGAGAAGACAAGACCCCAUUACCUAAAAAGGAGAAGUAAAACUCCAACAGAAGAACCUGAGAUGUUUUGUUAGCCCCUCGUAAUGCGGGAAUGCGAAUGUACAUCAUCCUGCUAGCAAAUUAGGAGUGUGCGAAGUCUUGCUCAGGAGGACCCAAGCAAGGUUCAGAACUUCAUCUGUAAACAACCAAAAGUUUGGAUGUUGAUAGGAUUGAAGUGAAUGAGUGGGGAAAAUGGAAUCAAUUCUUAAAAGUUCCUUUGGGAAUUGUCUCAGCCACAAGGCCCAUUAGUGAAUAUUUCUGGACCACUUACCCAACAGCAAAAGGAACUGACCUUUAGCAAUUCCAGCUGAGUGAAAUUCACCUCCUUAAACAGUGAAAGUCCAGUUUCUUCUUGCUAAACCUUGCUCCUCAGAAUGUCUCCAUGGUGCUUCUCACACAAGAGGCACCAGCCAUGACUCUCAAACAUGUCCUGAACUCUCCCCCUCUCUGCAACCCACCUUUGAAGCAGGUCCCUUCGGGGUUUAGAUGUGCAUCUAAGUGUACAUUGUGCAGUUCAAAAACUCCAGGGUGUAGGAGAUACACUUGUGUAGUGAUUCACAUGAUUGGGUUUGGAGCCUGGUGUUUGCAGAAUAUUUUCCACCAUUCUACCCUAGCUUUAUGCAAGUGCACAGGCAUAAAACUUGUGUAAGGCAAUGGAGAAUAAAGCCCCUUCUGUAAGAUUAUGCAAGCUUCUAAAAUAGCACCAUUCUCAUCCUAGCUACACUUUUGAAAUGCUGGUAUCUUGCUGUGCUUUCUGCAAUAGAACCGGCUGCUGGAUUUAACCAUUAGUUUUUAUUUUUAGCUUGAAACACAACUAUAAUAUCUGAGGUUUAUGGGUUGCUUCAAUUUUUUUUUUUUAUAAAAUGUUCUGUAUAAAUCGUAUUUCCUCUUUCACAUUAUUAAGUUUCUUGUCAAUUUUAUUUAAAGCACACAGACAAAGAUGGAUCUCUCCUCUCCAGAUCUGCAAAGUUAGAUUUAUUUCUUUGGCAUGCUUCAGGUUGACUGAAAGCUAAUCUGUCCCCUUUUUAUGGGCUUUUAGUAAAGCAUGUAUUUCUUUGUUUCCCCUUUGUUCAUUCUGCACUGUCUCUUGGAAAUAUGUACGUUCACUUUGAACUGUAAAAAUAUAAAUAUAAAUAUAUUUGCCCCAAGGGAGAGAAAUAAAUGAUAACUCUUAAUCCAAUCUAAGGGAAGUUUUAUAUCUUUAGUUUUUCAGAUUGCACACAUGCAGUGAUUCGAAUAAAACGAACUGUGUGCAAUAAUGAAGACUCUACGGUCAUCCAGGGCCUUGCUGGGAAGAACGCUAAUGGCUGAAAACUUUUUUGGCCCUACAUCAAUGACAACUAAUUAAAUCUGCCCUUCUUUAGAGCUAAUUUUCUACCCUAAAAUGCCCCUGUAGGGCUUCCAUUGUGAUUAACCCCAUCUCUUCAAAUGCAGAACUUGGCUCUUGGCAUGUCGCUCCAAAGAUUGACACUUUAAUUAGCAAUG